rnacentral:rRNA from 1 species
GGGGUACACGAGCGGCGAACGGGUGAGUAACACGUGAGCAACCUGCCCCUGACUCUGGGAUAAGCGGUGGAAACGCCGUCUAAUACCGGAUACGACCCGCCACCUCAUGGUGGAGGGUGGAAAGUUUUUCGGUCAGGGAUGGGCUCGCGGCCUAUCAGCUUGUUGGUGGGGUAACGGCCUACCAAGGCGAUUACGGGUAGCCGGCCUGAGAGGGCGACCGGCCACACUGGGACUGAGACACGGCCCAGACUCCUGCGGGAGGCAGCAGUGGGGAAUAUUGCGCAAUGGGCGAAAGCCUGACGCAGCGACGCCGCGUGGGGGAUGACGGCCUUCGGGUUGUAAACCUCUUUUACCACCAACGCAGGCUCCAAGUUCUCUUCGGGUUGACGGUAGGUGGGGAAUAAGGACCGGCUAACUACGUGCCAACAACCGCGGUAAUACGUGGGGUCCGAGCGUUGUCCGGAAUUAUUGGGCGUAAAGAGCUCGUAGGCGGCGUGUCGCGUCUGCUGUGAAAGACCGGGGC